AGCACCUGGUGGGAAGGCAGGGCCAACAAAGGGGAGCUCAGCUGUAUGCAAUGCAACUGAGUGACUGGAAGGGGUGGGACCAGGAUUCACCCCCUCCCAGACUUCAUUUAAGGGUUGGCAGUGGAAGCAGAGACAUAUUGCUGGAGAUCUCUGUGUAUCUAAGGCUUUCUGAAGAAACAGAAGUAUUUUUCAAAGAGAAGGCACUGCUCAGAGGGGUGGACUUCUGUUUGCUGUGGACCAUCUCAGACCUCAGUUUAACUCUUCCUGAGUAUCCAUAGCUCCAGAGGCAGUGAGGCUGCUCAUUCAAGCUGCUGUUGCAGAACGUGCAGUGUAACCAAACAGCAACAAAAAUCAGGAUCUUUGAUAUCACUGGAGUACAUCAGCAACUGAAAAUAAAGAGCGAGAUGCUUGGCAUGGGGGUGCACACAACCUGUUACAAGUCUUUUCACACAGGGCCAGGUAUGUUUGUGAAGGCACAACGCGCUGCACUGAGGAUUUGGUGUGUAAGUAUGUUGAGUUAAUGGAAGCUCUGCUCUGGAACUGGCACUUGGUAGCAGUAGCAAAAACUGUUGACACACAAGAAAAGAUUUGAUGAUCUGGAUUGCAAAACCUCAUUAAUGAUUCCAAUACAUGGAUGCUCUAAAAUUGCUGCAAACUGGUGAGAAGGUCUGACCUCUACUGCUAUGCCACCAACGUGCACCUCUGAUGCCAUGGACCAACAUAAUAAAAUGGGAGGCAUUACUUUUGGAGCCACCCUCGUAGAUCACUAUGUGCAGUAAAAGCUCAACAGAGAAUUCUCUGACUCAGACAAAGGAGACAAAAUAAUUGCAGUUUGUGCUAAUCUGAGUGAAAGUGGCAAUGUGCAGUAUGUGAUCCUGGAGUGCCCAUCCUGGCUAGCUUCUUUUUCCACCUGUGAGUCUCAUUGCAUCCAUCUUUUCUCCAGACUUUGAGGAAGAGCUUGGAGGAAUUUAAAGAUGUAGGAGAGUUUAGUACCUUUUCUUAGGUUGGUUAUGGAGGGCUUUUGUUGUUGGACGUUAAUUCAGACAGUGCAUAUUUACUCUUGGCUAAAAUCUUUUGCUUGUAUCUUGAGAGACAACAGCCACAGGAACUUUUUUUUUAAAAUACAAAUAAAUAAAUAAAUGCCAUUUUGAGGAUGGAAAAUUAAAUCCUAAGGACCAACGUGGCAGCUGGCCAACUGGUAAUCAUGCUGAGCCUUCAGAAUUAUGCCUGGCAUUUAUGCACAAAGCAAGCAGAUGAAGCUUGCCAGGCGGGAGCUAGCAAACAAGAAGUACGCGGAGCAAAUAUGAUACAGGGAGAAAAAAAAAAUCUACAGUGGCAAAGGGAAAGCUGUAAUUCCAGGACAUCAUUUUCAGUGGUGAUAUAUGCAGCAGCUUGCAGUAGUGGCAGUGAAGAAAAAUUCCAGAGAUGAAAAGGCUAGAACAACCCCUUAAUCUCCUUCGUGCCUGUCCUGUGUGACAAGAAAGUCUCCCUUUGAAAUGAGAAGAGAUACAGCCUAUGAGAGGAAAGUUUGAGCAUAAAGAGAUUGGGCAACACUCAGAGGUGCCACAGGGAAAGCCGGGAGAGAAACAACCGUUCACUGUGGACAAAGCUAUAAGACUGCAUUCCUGCCUGGAAAACCUCUGCAACUACAGUCAAGUGACAACACCUUUCCGUUGAAGCAGUUUCACACGUGCCAGAAACUGCUACACAAUGCCAUAAGCAGCAAAGAAGCUGAGCAGGAGGUGACUUGAAACAGCCAGUCUGAAUGCCAUAUGGGAUUUCCACGUCAGGGUUUCAGCUCUGUUGUGCAUCAACAAGCUUGAACUGGUACCAUGAAGAAAAGAUUAGCAUUACAUUUCGUUGUUGUGUAUUUGGUGCUGCGUCUACCUAAGGACAAAUAUUUCCUGAGAAGCAGAGCUCUGCAAAACUGAACUCCAUGGUCUUUUCUGUAGCUCAAAGCCUGCAACAUCCCUUUCCAUCUGCUGCGCUUCUACUCUGGUACGGGCUGAAGCCACAGAGUAGUGGAUUCCUUGGAACUUCUCAGCCAUGUUUGUUUGUUAUUGCCUUCAAGUCAGCUUUGGGAGUCUGUGCAAGAAAUAAAGGUAGAAUCUGGCUCUGCAUUUUGCAACAGAUGCUUUUCCCCAUGUAGUAGAUUUGUACCUUUGUGCUACUUCAGGGACUGAGUAAAAUGGACUCAUCAUGCCUGAAACUCAAGUCAGAGAUGUGUGAUGCAUAGCCAUUCCACAAUAUUCUUCUAUGCUUGCAACACCUACAAAAUAGAACCUAAAACGUACUUUGCUAGUUUGCAGGGGCAAAUGAAUUUGUUACUUUGCUUCUAUGCAUCAGCUUUAGUUUAGCUUAGAGCGCAUUUUAAAACACUCCUGUGACAUCAGUCCUUGCAAGCCCUUACAAACAAACCAGUUUUAAAUGAGUGUGGGAAUUCCUGCAGUAUUAUGACAGACACUCAUCACUGACAGAGGAAACAAAUAAAAUCUAAUUGCCCAGUUUGCUUGUGAGGGUUCCCUGGAAAAGAUCAGCCAUCAAACAGUUUGAAAUUAGCUUCCUAGCUGAAGGAUUCUCUUUUGUUUCUCACACAAAUAAACGGGGAUGCUUGGCUUUCCAAAACAGGCACUGUUAAAGAGAUACAAGUAUAGAGUUCUCACCACAUACAUUUUAUAUAUAUAUAUAUAUAUAUUAACAUUUAGCUGGCAGGUUUCAGUUUUAUAGGUAAGACUCCAAUUCUGAUCACUAAACACAUGCCAAAAGUUAGAUGCAAUCCCAAUGAGCUUCUUGCACACCCACACCCCUGUAGCGUUAUUCUUCUCAACCUUCUAAGCAUCCCCUCCGAUUUUGUGAACAACCACAAAGCAUGUUUGGCAGUAAUUCUGCUGUAACUGCUCUUCUGUGAGGAUGUUACAACAGAUCAGUUGAAAGCAAAGUUAAAUACAACGAAAGUAAAUACAAAACAGUAUCAAAGCAAAAGAUGUAGGGGUGUAGGAAAAACAAACAAACAUAAUGUCAGGAAAAAAAAAGACAGGUUUGGAGAUGAGAGAUUAUGGGAGUGAUGCAAGAAGAACAGGGAUGGAUAGAGAAGGGACUAGGAAUGAAAAUAAAAGAAUGACACAGGAGAAACUGACAUCAACGUUUUUAUUACAAGAUAAGUGCAAGUUACUGUCAUUAUAGCUUCUCUAAUUAUCUUUCAACCUUUUUUUUUUUCAAUAUAUAUAUACAUGAUGUCCAUAUGUUGCAAAUAACAGGGUUUUAUGACUUUUGUUCUCUCACCUUUCCCAUAGCUUACAUUCCAUUUUAAUUGCUACACUGAUAUCAGAUGCUUCACUUAAUGAUCUUGCACCAGUGCUCCCUAUUUGUGGUGAUAACGCUCUUGGGGGAGCAAAACCACCUGCCUCGUGGUUGUAGGCUACGUGCUGUUCUCGUGGACGUCCACUAGAUGGCAAAGCCGGUAUUUUUGUUGAGUUUACAUGCCACCUUCAGCUAAUAACUAACCCUAGGGUAUGUGCACAGGCUAAAAAUGGCGAUUAAAGGACACCGAAUGGUGUCUCCGUGGAAAAGAGUGUAUUUCCUAGGGUUAAUAACAAAACAGGAGAAUGAAAGACUCAGUUAUAAAAUGGUGAUGCUCUCAGGAAAGCACAGUGUUCUCUCUAUUCUCUGUGAAUCUCUGUAGGAGUCAUCUCUGAGGUAGAAUCGUUUGUUUUCCAGUGGAAAUAAAUUCUAUGGAGAUAAUAAUA
ensembl:lncRNA